rnacentral:rRNA from 1 species
UACAGAGGGGGCAAGCGUUGUUCGGAAUUACUGGGCGUAAAGGGCGCGUAGGCGCCACGCUAAGUCGAACGUGAAAUCCCCGAGCUCAACUCGGGAACUGCGUCCGAUACUGGUGGGCUUGAAUCCGGGAGAGGGAUGCGGAAUUCCAGGUGUAGCGGUGAAAUGCGUAGAUAUCUGGAGGAAUACCGGUGGCGAAGGCGGCAUCCUGGACCGGCAUUGACGCUGAGGAGCGAAAGCUAGGGGAGCAAACGGG